rfam:Neocallimastix californiae strain G1 LY90scaffold_321, whole genome shotgun sequence.
GCCGAGAUGGCCGAGUUGGUCUAAGGCGCCGCACUCAAGAUGCGGUUUCGAAAGAAGCGCGAGUUCGAAUCUCGCUUUCGGCA